rnacentral:rRNA from 1 species
UACAGAGGUCCCAAGCGUUGUUCGGAUUCACUGGGCGUAAAGGGUGCGUAGGUGGUUGGGUAAGUCUGAUGUGAAAUCUCUGAGCUUAACUCAGAAACUGCAUUGGAUACUAUUCAGCUGGAGGAGUGGAGGGGGGACUGGAAUACUUGGUGUAGCAGUGAAAUGCGUAGAUAUCAAGUGGAACACCAGUGGCGAAGGCGAGUCCCUGGACACUUCCUGACACUGAGGCACGAAAGCUAGGGGAGCAAACAGG